GAUCCUGGCUCGGGAUGAACGCUGGCGGCGUGCUUAACACAUGCAAGUCGAGCGAAGCACUUAAGUUUGAUUCUUCGGAUGAAGACUUUUGUGACUGAGCGGCGGACGGGUGAGUAACGCGUGGGUAACCUGCCUCAUACAGGGGGAUAACAGUUAGAAAUGACUGCUAAUACCGCAUAAGACCACGGUACCGCAUGGUACAGUGGUAAAAACUCCGGUGGUAUGAGAUGGACCCGCGUCUGAUUAGG
rnacentral:rRNA from 1 species